rnacentral:rRNA from 1 species
UACGUAGGGUGCGAGCGUUUGCCGGAAUUACUGGGCGUAAAGAGCUCAUAGGUGGUUUGUCGCGUUGUUCGUGAAAUCUCACGGCUUAACUGUGAGCGUGCGGGCGAUACGGGCAGACUGGAGUACUGCAGGGGAGACUGGAAUUCCUGGUGUAGCGGUGGAAUGCGCAGAUAUCAGGAGGAACACCGGUGGCGAAGGCGGGUCUCUGGGCAGUAACUGACGCUGAGGAGCGAAAGCGUGGGGAGCGAACAGG